UUGACCUACGGGGCGCAGCAGUGAGGAAUAUUGGUCAAUGGGCGCGAGCCUGAACCAGCCAAGUCGCGUGAGGGAAGACGGUCCUAUGGAUUGUAAACCUCUUUUGUCGGGGAGCAAAAGACGCCACGCGUGGCGUUCCGAGAGUACCCGAAGAAAAAGCAUCGGCUAACUCCGUGCCAGCAGCCGCGGUAAUACGGAGGAUGCGAGCGUUAUCCGGAUUUAUUGGGUUUAAAGGGUGCGUAGGCGGGACGGUAAGUCAGCGGUAAAAAUGCGGAGCUCAACUCCGUCGAGCCGUUGAAACUGUC
rnacentral:rRNA from 1 species